rnacentral:rRNA from 1 species
UACGAAGGGGCUAGCGUUGUUCGGAAUUACUGGGCGUAAAGCGCACGUAGGCGGAUCGAUCAGUCAGGGGUGAAAUCCCAGAGCUCAACUCUGGAACUGCCUUUGAUACUGUCGGUCUAGAGUAUGGAAGAGGGUGAGUGGAAUUCCGAGUGUAGAGGUGAAAUUCGUAGAUAUUCGGAGGAACACCAGUGGCGAAGGCGGCUCACUGGUCCAUUACUGACGCUGAGGUGGCGAAAGCG